GUGAACGCUGGCGGUAGGCCUAACACAUGCAAGUCGAACGGCAGCACCGUAAGAGCUUGCUCUUACGGGUGGCGAGUGGCGGACGAGUGAGGAAUACAUCGGAAUCUACUUUUUCGUGGGGGAUAACGUAGGGAAACUUACGCUAAUACCGCAUACGACCUACGGGUGAAAGCAGGGGAUCUUCGGACCUUGCGCGAUUGAAUGAGCCGAUGUCGGAUUAGCUAGUUGGCGGGGUAAAGGCCCACCAAGGCGACGAUCCGUAGCCGGUCUGAGAGGAUGAUCAGCCACACUGGAACUGAGACACGGUCCAGACUCCUACGGGAGGCAGCAGUGGGGAAUAUUGGACAAUGGGCGCAAGCCUGAUCCAGCCAUACCGCGUGGGUGAAGAAGGCCUUCGGAUUGUAAAGCCCUUUUGUUGGGAAAGAAAAGCAGCAGGUUAAUACCCCGCUGUUCUGACGGUACCCAAAGAAUAAGCACCGGCUAACUUCGUG
rnacentral:rRNA from 1 species